CUUUGUUAUGCCUUGAAAUUACCAUAUGUCAUCGAUAUAUUCCUUAUGCCAAUGAUAUGCUCCAAUUUCCUUUCUCCUAUUGUUAUGUCUAAUGCCUGUUUUGAACGAGGUAAACCUUUGUGAUUUUAUAUCAAAUGAGAUGACUUCAAAUGAACACUUGUAUUUCUACUUUUGUAUCUUGAUACUAAGCUUGCUUGAACUUCUCCUAUCGCCAUGGAUAUGUUAGACGCUUGCUGAGCUCUUUAUGCUCACCCCGUUGCUAUAUAAAUUUUUUAGGGUAGCUUGUCACGCACUGAAAAGCUAGAAUUGGGUUAAAGCAGUGAAAGGCUAGAAGAUUUUUGAGCUAAUCUUUGUUGGAUGAUGGUUUUUGUUGUAUAGUAAACUUUACUUCUGAUGUAAUGUUAAGGAUCUAUUGAUACUUAUAUGUUGUAAAAUGUAAAAGGACCGCUCAUGUGUAUGAA
rnacentral:lncRNA from 1 species